GAAUAAAAAUAAAUUGAAACUUACUCAUAGAAAUGUGAGGUCAUUUAACACAUAUAUUUAUUUGGCUUUUACUUCGUGAUUUUUUACAUUCCUACGCUCACUUUUCAGUACUGUAUUGCCUUUAAAAAACAUUGAAUACUUAUAACAAUUCAGGAAAAAAUGUAGUCAUUUUUUAGUACAUUAAUAGCUCUAACAUUCUACUCACAUUGGUUGAUCAGCUCAAAAUCUUCAACAAGAUCUCAGUCCAUGGCGUUAGUGUACAUAGAGCGUCAGUUUGUGGACGUACGACGACCGUAGUCGAUUAGUGACAAUCGCGAAAUUCAACGGACAGCAACAUCACACAUAAAUGCACCAGGAAAUGGUGUGGCCACUUGCAAUACGUGCUCGCGAUCGACCACUCCGUCUCCGGGUCUACGAUUCCGGGAUUUCUUCCAUAGCCACUUUUUCAAAUUCAUGCCACUGCUAUUGUCACGACCGUGAUCACUGAGGGGACAUGCUGAUGCCCAACAUAUGAGUCCUUGAACCAACAAAGGCCGAUGUCCAAUCUUGUGUCCUUUUGCGUCGGCAACCGAAGAUAACUGUUGGUUGGACGGUUUGAAACCAUGGUCUUGCGUUACAAACAGAAUUCGCCAACAUUUUUGGCAAUAAGAAAUGCGAAUUAUGUAAUCUUCUAAUCUUUUUCACUUAUUAUUGUAAUAUAAUAUAAUAUAUAGUAAGUAUAGGUGGAAAGGUAAUAUGAAAAUAACAAUAAAAUUAAAAUAGAACUAUGCGGUGGAAUAUAUACUCACAAGUCACAAGAAACUUAAUACAUACAAAACAAAUAUAUUCAUAUAAUAUACUAACUUAUACAUUUUAUACCACACAUUAUUUUAACAUAUUAUGAAUAUUACGUUUGACCUGAUUGAAAAUUCUCUCCUCAAGCAACUUCAAUAAUCCAACAAUGAUACUCCGGUUACAUGUAGCGCAUGUCGUAUAUUAUGAUGACAACAAAAUAAAUAAAAGUAUCACCAUAAUUUUAAUAAAAUGAUCUUAUUUUACAUAUAAUUUUAUUAUUUAAAAUGUGUAUGGUCUGGGUGGAAACUGAUUAUAACGAGUCGUUAUUCAUAAAAAUUCCCAAUCUUGUAAAAUUAGCCGAUAAAUUAUUUAAUGUUUCUUUUACGAAAAAAUAAUUUUAAAUUAUUAUAAUUUUAGGAACAUUUUAAAUAAUUUUAAAAGAUGAAAGGACAGGGAAGAUUUGUUUUUUUGUUUCUUAUAAUAAUAGGGUUUAGCACUUGAAUAGGUUCUUUUACCGCAUUGUAUACAGUACAGUCGCUAUUAUAUAAAACAGUGCUUACUGUUUGCUACUAUAAUAAUAUAAUAACUGUUUUUCAUUUUUUUUAGGCGUUCGCAUUUCAACCGAACAAAUUUUAUAAUUUUUUUUUAUUUUUUUUAUUUUUUAUUUAAUUUUAAUUUUAUGUAUUUGUUAGUAUGUAAAAUUGUAUAUCAUACUAAAUUUCUACAGAGAAAACGAAUUGCGUACAAUACACUCCCCUUGUUGGUGAAUAUUUUGAAGAUCAUAAAAUGCAUCGGAGGCGCUGAACGCAGUUAAUGUGCAUGUGAUUUGCGUAUUUGUCACGGCGGACUGGCGUUUAACACCCACGGGGAUUCUUCCAGCCCGAACAAUGGUAGACGUGAUAUUGUAGAGUCAUUAUAGAACGCGUGUCGAAACGUACAAGUAUCAUAAACUAUCACAUAAAAUAAUGUUAAGAAUUUAAUUUAAUCUUCCUCUCCUCCUUCACAGACUAAAGUAAAAUACAUUUAUUAAUAUAAUAAUUAGUAAUAUAGUAAUAUAUAUUUAUUUUUUUACUUGCGGUUUUGAGCGAUAAGUACAGAUAUUGUGUUUCUGGCUGUUGUUGAUUAAAAUUGACAAUUUUUAUUAUAUUAUAUUUUAUUUUAUUAUUAUUAUUAUUAUUAUUAUUUAGACUUGUAUCAGCUAUGUAAUUUGUUAAAGGGAGAUAACAGUACUUAAUACCUAACUGAUUUUUUUUUAUUUAGUCUUCACAAUAUAUAUUAAUAUAGUAUUGGUAAUUUAUAACAUUUGAUUUUGUCAUUUGUAUGUAGGCAAAAACCUAACAAAAGUGUUUAAUAAAUUUCACCUUAAAUAGUAAGUAAUACAAUUUGAGUACCUAGUAUACAUGACAACACUGAUUUCUAUCGUAAAAUAUGCUAUUAUGUUAUGCCCUGCAUAAAUAUUAGUAAUAUUAUUUACAAUUUUUAUGUUAUAACUGAUAUUAUUUUACAACAGUAUUUUUAACUCAUACAUUUUUUAGUUGUACGUAACUAUAUUAAUUAUAAUAUUUCGAACAAUUUAA